UCCCGGUUAACCCGGGCAGUCUCAUUAGAGUUCCCACCCUAAGUGUUGGCAACUAAUGAUAAGGGUUGCGCUCGUUGCGGGACUUAACCCAACACCUCACGGCACGAGCUGACGACAGCCAUGCAGCACCUGUGCAGAGGCCCCGAAGGGAGAUGCUGUUUCUAGCACUGUCCUCUGCAUGUCAAGCCUGGGUAAGGUUCUUCGCGUUGCAUCGAAUUAAACCACAUGCUCCACUGCUUGUGCGGGUCCCCGUCAAUUCUUUUGAGUUUCAGCCUUGCGACUGUACUCCUCAGGCGGCAUACUUAACGCGUUAGCUUCGGCACAUCCGGGGUUGAGUCCAGAUACACCAAGUAUGCAUCGUUUACGGCUAGGACUAC
rnacentral:misc_RNA from 1 species